rnacentral:rRNA from 1 species
AUUGAACGCUGGCGGCAGGCCUAACACAUGCAAGUCGAGCGGAGCGGCGGACGGGUGAGUAAUGCCUAGGAAUCUGCCUGGUAGUGGGGGAUAACGUCCGGAAACGGGCGCUAAUACCGCAUACUAUCAGAUGAGCCUAGGUCGGAUUAGCUAGUUGGUGGGGUAAAGGCCUACCAAGGCGACGAUCCGUAACUGGUCUGCGAGGAUGAUCAGUCACACUGGACCUGAGACACGGUCCAGACUCCGACGGGAGGCAGCAGGGGGGAAUAUGGGACAAUGGGCGAAAGCCUGAUCCAGCCAUGCCGCGGGGUUGAAGAAGGUCUUCGGAUUGUAAAGCACUUUAAGUUGGGAGGCGUUACCACCAGAAUAAGCACCGGCUAACUUCGUGCCAGCAGCCGCGGUAAUUC